UACGGGGGGGGCAAGCGUUGUUCGGAAUUACUGGGCGUAAAGGGCUCGUAGGCGGCCAACUAAGUCGAACGUGAAAUCCCCGGGCUCAACCCGGGAACUGCGUCCGAGACUGAAAGGCUCGAAUCCGGGAGAGGGAUGUGGAAUUCCAGGUGUAGCGGUGAAAUGCGUAGAUAUCUGGAGGAACAUCGGUGGCGAAGGCGGCAUCCUGGACCGGUAUUGACGCUGAGGCGCGAAAGCCAGGGGAGCAAAGCGGG
rnacentral:rRNA from 1 species